UACGGAGGAUGCAAGCGUUAUCCGGAAUGAUUGGGCGUAAAGGGUCCGCAGGUGGCAGUGUAAGUCUGCUGUCAAAGAAUGAGGCUUAACCUUAUCAAGGCAGUGGAAACUACACAGCUAGAGUACGGUCGGGGUAGAAGGAAUUCCUGGUGUAGCGGUGAAAUGCGUAGAGAUCAGGAGGAACACCGGUGGCGAAGGCGGCGACCUGGGUAGAUACUGACGCUGAGGUGCGAAAGCGUGGGGAGCAAACAGG
rnacentral:rRNA from 1 species